GACGAACGCUGGCGGCGUGCCCAACACAUGCAAGUCGAACGGGGUAAUUUCUUCGGAGAUUACUUAGUGGCGAACGGGUGAGUAACGCGUGAGAAACCUGCCUUUCAGUGGGGGACAACAGUUGGAAACGACUGCUAAUACCGCAUGAUACUAUUGAGUGGCAUCGCUUGAUAGUCAAAGAUUUAUUGCUGAAAGAUGGCCUCGCGUCUGAUUAGCUAGUUGGUGGGGUAACGGCCCACCAAGGCGACGAUCAGUAGCCGGACUGAGAGGUUGACCGGCCACAUUGGGACUGAGACACGGCCCAA
rnacentral:rRNA from 1 species